GACGAACGCUGGCGGCGUGCUUAGCACAUGCAAGUCGAACGGUGAAGCGCCUUCCUUUUUGGUGGGUGUGGAUGAGUGGCGAACGGGUGAGUAACACGUGAGUAACCUGCCCCCUUCUUCUGGAUAACCGCAUGAAAGUGUGGCUAAUACGGGAUAUUCUGGGUCUGUCGCAUGAUGGGUCUGGGAAAGAUAUUGUUUCGGUGGGGGAUGGGCUCGCGGCCUAUCAGCUUGUUGGUGGGGUGAUGGCCUACCAAGGCGGUGACGGGUAGCCGGCCUGAGAGGGUGGACGGUCACACUGGGACUGAGACACGGCCCAGACUCCUACGGGAGGCAGCAGUGGGGAAUAUUGCACAAUGGGCGCAAGCCUGAUGCAGCGACGCCGCGUGAGGGAUGGAGGCCUUCGGGUUGUGAACCUCUUUCGCCAGUGAAGCAGGCCUGCCUCGUUUGUGGGUGGGUCGACGGUAGCUGGAUAAGAAGCGCCGGCUAACUACGUG
rnacentral:rRNA from 1 species